UCCCACCCAUCUCCUUGACCUGCAUUGCAAGAAAGGAGAAAAAAAAACGAUGGUUGACUAUUGUCUAUCAACAACCAAAAGCAAUCAAACUAAUUGCUGCCUCCGCAUAUAAUUUAACUAUAGGUAAUUUGAAGUAUACUAAAUGAAACUUGACUUCCCUCAGUUGUACCCUCAUUAGAGGGUCCUAAAUAAUAUGGCAACAAUAAGCAUGCUUGCCAACCUUGUCAGAUUAAAGAAUCAACAUCUACCCUGCCAUUUCCAACCAGGUGGGCAGACUUUUAUUUACUUCUAAAUUUUCUUUCAGUUGGGAGGAGGAAAGAAUGAUCCCCGCAAGCUUAUAUGUAGCUCCACCCUCCUCUCCAUUUGCUGGCACAACAACUCACUCCUAAAAAGGGGUGGGCAGACCUUUCAUUUAUUUAUUUUUAGUUUUUAUCUCAGUUGGAGGGAGGGGAGGAUGAUCUCCACUAGCUAAGAAAAGAAGCCUCCUUUAAUUCACUCCUAUACAUUCAACACAAAGCCUCCAAAAAAAAAAAAG
rnacentral:misc_RNA from 1 species